UUUAGCUAUGCAAGGGUAAAAUUUUCAGGUUGAGCCUUCCAUUUUCAAUUCACGAGACCAAGUUUGAGCUAGCUGCAGUGGAUGUCGUGGAGAAGGCUUGUCGUCUUUGUGUCGAUGUGAAAGGGUCUCUCUUCUCCAGCGAAGGACGAAUCCAAUUGAAAAGAAUGACCAGACUCUUGUUACAAUUGCUGAUUUUGGAUUGGGAGUUCUAGUUAGCUUAGGUAAUUUUAUUUGUUUAUUCUUAUUUAUUGUUUAUUUUUUCAUUUGAUGCUAAUUGGGCUUGUGCUUCCCUAAUAAGAUUAAUUUUGUUGUGGUAUCUUUUCAUUUCUAUCUGAUUAUUUCUGUUAAAGUUUGAACAAAGGUGAUUGACCUUUUGCUAAUGAUCAUGUCUUUGACAAUACGACAAUUACAGGGAAGUUGGUGGAGAUUCUUUCUACCAUACAUGCGAAACUAUCUCCAAAUUCAAUGAAUUCUUAGAUGGCAUCAUGUUCCACAGUUCAAUUUUAUGCACUUUCAUGCAAAGGGAUUUAAUUGAUCUUGUUAUCACUAAUGCACAGUAUUGGCAUGUGUGGUUGCAGUGCUCUGAUUAGAUUUUGUGUCAAUGUUCUACUAGCAAGCAUAUGGCUUAAGGAUUUAAAAGGGCUAUAGGCCCACAGAUCUGGCAAUUCCGCUAGCAAUAUCUCUCAUGGAGAAGGUGAUGUGGUUCCUACCCCUUCUCUUCUAUUGAUACCUUACAACUUCAUAUAACUUGCAUUAUCCCCAUGGAAGAAUUAAAGGUUAAAGCUUACUGAUUUUGUUAAUUAUUUUUUAAAAAAUUUUUAUGUAAAACUUUUUAUUAUUAAUUUUAUUUCCUCAUGUAACUGUAGAUUGGCUUCAAAGAGGGAGAUUUAUCUCAAUAAUAGCGGCCAUUUGUAUGUUGAGUUUGGGACCGGCUAUGUUUUGUUAAGCUCACAGAGGUCGAGUUGUGUGCUUGGAAAGC
rnacentral:misc_RNA from 1 species